UAGCAUAUCAAUAAGCGGAGGAAAAGAAACCAACAGGGAUUGCCCUAGUAACGGCGAGUGAAGCGGCAACAGCUCAAAUUUGAAAUCUGGCCUCGGCCCGAGUUGUAAUUUGCAGAGGAUGAUUCUGGCGCGGCGCCUUCCGAGUGCCCUGGAACGGGACGCCACAGAGGGUGAGAGCCCCGUACGGUCGGACGCCAAGCCUGUGUGAAUCUCCUUCGACGAGUCGAGUAGUUUGGGAAUGCUGCUCAAAAUGGGAGGUAAAUCUCUUCUAAAGCUAAAUACUGGCCAGAGACCGAUAGCGCACAAGUAGAGUGAUCGAAAGAUGAAAAGCACCUUGAAAAGGGGGUUAAACAGUACGUGAAAUUGUUGAAAGGGAAGGGCUCGUGACCAGACUUGUGCCAGGCGGCUCAUCCGGCGUUCUCGCCGGUGCACUCCGCCUGGCUCAGGCCAGCAUCGGUUCUCGCCGGGGGAUAAGAGCGGCAGGAACGUGGCUCCCUUCGGGGAGUGUUAUAGCCUGCCGCACGAUGCCCUGGCGGGGACCGAGGUUCGCGCUCCGCAAGGAUGCUGGCGUAAUGGUCACCAACCACCCGUCUUGAAACACGGACCAAGGAGUCGUCCAUCAGAGCGAGCGUUUGGGUGUAAAACCCGCACGCGUAAUGAAAGUGAACGCAGGUGAGAGCUUCGGCGCAUCAUCGACCGAUCCUGAUGUAUUCGGAUGGAUUUGAGUAAGAGUUUUGCUGGACGGACCCGAAAGACAGUGAACUAUGCUUGUAUAGGGUGAAGCCAGAGGAAACUCUGGUGGAGGCUCGCAGCGGUUCUGACGUGCAAAUCGAUCGUCAAAUAUGAGCAUGGGGGCGAAAGACUAAUCUAACUGUCUAGUAGCUGGUUACCGCAAU
rnacentral:rRNA from 1 species